rnacentral:rRNA from 1 species
GGUUAAGCGAUUAAGCGUACACGGUGGAUGCCCUGGCAGUCAGAGGCGAUGAAGGGCGUGCUAAUCUGCGAUAAGCGCCGGUAAGGUGAUAUGAACCGUUAUAACCGGCGAUACCCGAAUGGGGAAACCCAGUGUGACUCGUCACACUAUCAUUAACUGAAUCCAUAGGUUAAUGAGGCGAACCGGGGGAACUGAAACAUCUAAGUACCCCGAGGAAAAGAAAUCAACCGAGAUUCCCCCAGUAGCGGCGAGCGAACGGGGAGGAGCCCAGAGCCUGAAUCAGCAUGUGUGUUAGUGGAAGCGUCUGGAAAGGCGCGCGAUACAGGGUGACAGCCCCGUACACAAAAGCGCAUGUGCUGUGAGCUCGAUGAGUAGGGCGGGACACGUGGUAUCCUGUCUGAAUAUGGGGGGACCAUCCUCCAAGGCUAAAUACUCCUGACUGACCGAUAGUGAACCAGUACCGUGAGGGAAAGGCGAAAAGAACCCCGGCGAGGGGAGUGAAAAAGAACCUGAAACCGUGUACGUACAAGCAGUGGGAGCACCCUUUGGGGUGUGACUGCGUACCUUUUGUAUAAUGGGUCAGCGACUUAUAUUCUGUAGCAAGGUUAACCGAAUAGGGGAGCCGGAGGGAAACCGAGUCUUAAUUGGGCGUUAAGUUGCAGGGUAUAGACCCGAAACCCGGUGAUCUAGCCAUGGGCAGGUUGAAGGUUGGGUAACACUAACUGGAGGACCGAACCGACUAAUGUUGAAAAAUUAGCGGAUGACCUGUGGCUGGGGGUGAAAGGCCAAUCAAACCGGGAGAUAGCUGGUUCUCCCCGAAAGCUAUUUAGGUAGCGCCUCGUGAAUUCAUCUCCGGGGGUAGAGCACUGUUUCGGCUAGGGGGCCAUCCCGGCUUACCAACCCGAUGCAAACUGCGAAUACCGGAGAAUGUUAUCACGGGAGACACACGGCGGGUGCUAACGUCCGUCGUGAAGAGGGAAACAACCCAGACCGCCAGCUAAGGUCCCAAAGUCAUGGUUAAGUGGGAAACGAUGUGGGAAGGCCCAGACAGCCAGGAUGUUGGCUUAGAAGCAGCCAUCAUUUAAAGAAAGCGUAAUAGCUCACUGGUCGAGUCGGCCUGCGCGGAAGAUGUAACGGGGCUAAACCAUGCACCGAAGCUGCGGCAGCGACACUCAGGUGUUGUUGGGUAGGGGAGCGUUCUGUAAGCCUGCGAAGGUGGCCUGUGAGGGUUGCUGGAGGUAUCAGAAGUGCGAAUGCUGACAUAAGUAACGAUAAAGCGGGUGAAAAGCCCGCUCGCCGGAAGACCAAGGGUUCCUGU